rnacentral:rRNA from 1 species
GUGUCACCGCCGCGGUAAUACCGGCAGCCUGAGUGAUGGCCGAUCAUAUUGGGCGUAAAGCGUCCGUAGCUGGCCGCACAAGUCGAUCGGGAUAUCCACCUGGCCAACAGGUGGGCGCCCGGUAGAAACUGCGUGGCUUGGGACCGGAAGGCGCGACGGGUACGUCCGGGGUAGGAGUGAAAUCCCGUUAUCCUGGACGGACCGCCGAUGGCGAAAGCAGGUCGCGAGAACGGAUCCGACAGUGAGGGACGAAAGGGAGGGUCUCGAACCGGAUUAGAAACCCCCGUAGUCC